GGCUCUCAUCAAAAACAGUAGUAAAAAAAACUGUUAAAAAUAUUCAAAGUGGAAAGGUUAGUGAAGAGGCCAAGUUAUUUAUAUUUGGAGGACAACCAGCUGAAGACUAUUACAAAUGGAUGGCGUCUUUACAAAGGGUUAUCAGCUCCCAGAAGUUUAUGCACUUAUGUGGUGGUACACUGAUUGCACCG